rnacentral:rRNA from 1 species
UACGUAGGGGGCAAGCGUUGUCCGGAAUCAUUGGGCGUAAAGAGCGUGUAGGCGGUCCGAUAAGUCGGUUGUGAAAGUCCAGGGCUCAACCCUGGGAUGCCGACCGAUACUGUCGGACUAGAGUUCGGAAGAGGCGAGUGGAAUUCCCGGUGUAGCGGUGAAAUGCGCAGAUAUCGGGAGGAACACCUAUGGCGAAGGCAGCUCGCUGGGACGUUACUGACGCUGAGACGCGAAAGCGUGGGGAGCGAACAGG